rnacentral:rRNA from 1 species
CAAUAGCGUAUAUUAAAGUUGUUGCGGUUAAAAGGCUCGUAGUUGGAUUUCUGCUGAGGAUGACCGGUCCGCCCACUGGGCAGGUAUCUGGCUCAGCCUUGGCAUCUUCCUGAAGAACGUAGCUGCACUUGACUGUGUGGUGCGGUAUUUAGGACAUUUACUUUGAGGAAAUUAGAGUGUUUCAAGCAAGCGCACGCCUUGAAUACAUUAGCAUGGAAUAAUAAGAUAGGACCUCGGUUCAAUUUUGUUGGUUUCUAGAGCUGAGGUAAUGAUUGAUAGGGAUAGUUGGGGGCAUUCGUAUUUAACUGUCAGAGGUGAAAUUCUUGGAUUCGCUAAAGACGGACUACUGCGAAAGCAUUUGCCAAGGAUGUUUUCAUUGA